GCCCGAUCCAUUCCCAAACUUGAAGCCCUCUGUCCCCAGCAGGAAAAACAGGAAAAAGUGUUGGCUUAAGGUAACCGUGUUUCCACCGUCUGGAGUGGCACGCUGGAACUUCCAGAGGCUUGAAGACCUGAAGCCAUGUGAUGUGGUCCAGCUCAACCACAGUCCUCACAGCUGCAUUCAUCAGCCCCUGCACCUGCUACACCGGCUGUGACAGAUCUGCCACCCCUAGCAGUUCAUCUGCAGUCACAGCAGUCCUCUGCUGUGGUAUGUAAAUUACCGGCUGCACCAGGUCUUACUAUACUGGCCGUGAAGGGAGAAACUACUGAGGAAAACCCAGAUGGAUACAGGUCAUUCAUAAUUAUAUUACAUACACUCACUCACUCACACCAACAGAUGUGCACACAAACAUGUUGUUGACCUGUAUAGUUACUGUCACUUUGUUCAUCUC